rnacentral:lncRNA from 1 species
CCCAGCUUUCCAGUGCCAUGUACAGAAUCCAUGGACCUGAGCACUAGAUUAGGUUCUGGAGCUUUUUCCAAGUACUUGGGUUUUUUAGGAUAUUAUUUGUUGGAUGUUAUUUAUGGUUUUUUUUUUUCUAUUUCAGCUGGCCUUUAAAAUAUUUCCUUCCUGUGGCAUCUCUGUGUAACAGUUACAGGAAAACAACCCAUCUCUCAUUAAAGACUCAUUGACUGAUCCUCACCCAUUUUAAAUUGGGAGCUGCAGUGAUUUACAGUGGUUGAGGAUUGGAUUCAUGAUGCCUUGAGAAAACAUGGGAGGAGCACAGAUUGCAGCUGAUAACAGAGGAAAGAGCAGAUCAUGGUACCAAAUCCUGACCCAGAGCUGAGCAGGGCUCAAGGAGUGUGGAGAAACAGAUGGAGCUCUGCAAACUAUCAGCAUGCUGGAUUUUAUGGCACAUUUCUAGAGCUGAGGGACAACUGUCUGGGAAUUUCCAGGUAAUUGCCAUUUCUUCUGCUUCUUUCAUGAGCUGCACUGGAUGUUGUGACCUUCUCCUUGAUCUCAGGCUGCAGAUCUCUCUCCUAAUCCUCUCAAUUGAUAGCCUCAUGAUUAGAUUGUUGUCUUGAGUUGCAUCUUUGAAUGCAAAGCAAAGGAUAUUCUGGGUCCCACCAGGAGAGUUUGAGCAGGAACCUACAGACUCCCAAUCCCUGAGGGGAUUUUGCUUGCACUUCCUAAAGAUAUAAAUG